UAAGAUUUCCGUUUAAUUUUUACAUUAUUAAUUAAUGAAUUAAUGGUGUUCGUCUAUAAACCGCGAUUUUUGUACGGCUAUUGGGGCGUUUGGGUGGGUUGCUGAUUCGGUUUAAUUAAUACAUCUUAUUAUUCAGUUUCGUAACACGGUAACAGGUUAUGUCGACCAUGCCAGGAGGGCAGGAAGCCAAUUUCUGUUACAACCAGACUCUUUUUUCAGGAUGAAAUUAGGGACACCUCCAGGAUGGAGAAUGAGAGCCGGCCUGGGAAUGCCGGUGGGGCAGGAGCCUAAAGGAAUGCGAUCACGGAUGAUUAUGAAGGAUCGACCGUCACGGAUGAAAGAGGGAUCGCCAGCAAGGAUUGUGGGUUAGGAGGACCAUCAGGGACAAGUUUUCAAGGACGAGCAGGGAAGCAACAAGGUAGCGGGACUGCUGCAAACGAACUAAGAGGGAACCGAGAAAUCGGUUCCCUCUUUU
rnacentral:other from 1 species